rnacentral:rRNA from 1 species
AUUGAACGCUGGCGGCAGGCUUAACACAUGCAAGUCGAACGAGUGGCGGACGGGUGAGUCAUGCUUGGGAAUCUAGCUUAUCGAGGGGGAUAACUACGGGAAACUGUAGCUAAUACCGCUUACCAUAGGAUGAGCCCAGGUGGGAUUAGGUAGUUGGUGAGGUAAAGGCUCACCAAGCCGACUAUCCCUAGCUGGUCUGAGAGGAUGACCAGCCACACUGGGACUGAGACACGGACCAGACUCCUACGGGAGGCAGCAGUGGGGAAUAUUGCGCAAUGGGGGCAACCUGACGCAGCCAUGCCGCGUGAAUGAAGAAGGCCUUCGGGUUGUAAAGUUCUUUCGGUAGCGAGGCGUUAACUACAGAAGAAGCACCGGCUAACUCCGUGCCAGCAGCCGCGGUAAUUC